rnacentral:rRNA from 1 species
CGGACGCUGGCGGCGUGCUUAACACAUGCAAGUCGAACGGUGAAGCGCCUUCCUUUUUGGUGGGUGUGGAUGAGUGGCGAACGGGUGAGUAACACGUGAGUAACCUGCCCCCUUCUUCUGGAUAACCGCAUGAAAGUGUGGCUAAUACGGGAUAUUCUGGGUCUGUCGCAUGAUGGGUCUGGGAAAGAUAUUGUUUCGGUGGGGGAUGGGCUCGCGGCCUAUCAGCUUGUUGGUGGGGUGAUGGCCUACCAAGGCGGUGACGGGUAGCCGGCCUGAGAGGGUGGACGGUCACACUGGGACUGAGACACGGCCCAGACUCCUACGGGAGGCAGCAGUGGGGAAUAUUGCACAAUGGGCGCAAGCCUGAUGCAGCGACGCCGCGUGAGGGAUGGAGGCCUUCGGGUUGUGAACCUCUUUCGCCAGUGAAGCAGGCCUGCCUCGUUUGUGGGUGGGUUGACGGUAGCUGGAUAAGAAGCGCCGGCUAACUACGUG